rnacentral:rRNA from 1 species
GAUGAACGCUAGCGGCAGGCUUAACACAUGCAAGUCGAGGGGCAGCAUGACGGAACCUUCGGGUUUUGUUGAUGGCGACCGGCGCAAGGGUGCGUAACGCGUGAGCAACUUGCCCGUUUCAGGGGGAUAACCGGUGGAAACGCCGACUAAUACCCCAUAGUAUUGAGUUUAGGCAUCUUUACUCAAUUAAAGAAAUUCGGAAACGGAUAGGCUCGCGUGACAUUAGCUAGAUGGCGGGGUAACGGCCCACCAUGGCGACGAUGUCUAGGGGUUCUGAGAGGAAGGUCCCCCACACUGGAACUGAGACACGGUCCAGACUCCUACGGGAGGCAGCAGUGAGGAAUAUUGGUCAAUGGUCUGACGACUGAACCAGCCAUGCCGCGUGAAGGUCACGGGCCCCUAUGGGUCUUAAACUUCUUUUGUUAGGGAGCAAUAAGUCUCACGUGUGGGAUGAUGAGAGUACCUAACGAAUAAGCAUCGGCUAACUCCGUG